UUCACCACUGGUGCAGCUGCUAAAUAGCAAAGACCAGGAAGUGCUGCUUCAAACGGGCAGGGCUCUAGGAAACAUAUGUUACGAUAGCCAUGAGGGCAGAAGUGCAGUUGACCAAGCAGGUGGUGCACAGAUUGUAAUUGACCAUUUAAGGUCCCUGUGCAGUAUAACAGAUCCCGCCAAUGAGAAGCUCUUGACUGUCUUUUGUGGCAUGCUGAUGAACUAUAGCAAUGAGAAUGAUCUCCAUUCUUUGGAGUUUCCAUGAGUGUGACCUGAAGAACUUGGAACCAUUGAAAUUCAAAUGUAGAUUCGCUUCAAGCUCAGCUUAUCAAUAUGGGUGUUAUUCCUACCUUAGUGAAAUUACUGGGCAUCCACUGCCAAAAUGCAGCUCUUACAGAAAUGUGUCUUGUUGCAUUUGGUAAUUUAGCAGAACUUG
rnacentral:sRNA from 1 species